AUCAACUUUCGAUGGUAGGAUAGAGGCCUACCAUGGUGGUAACGGGUAACGGGGUGUUAGGGCACGACACCGGAGAGGGAGCCUGAGAAACGGCUACCACAUCCAAGGAUGGCAGCAGGCGCGCAAAUUACCCAAUCCCGACACGGGGAGGUAGUGACAAUAAAUAACAAUACGGGGUUCUUUCGGAUUUCGUAAUUGGAAUGAGUACAAUUUAAAUCUCUUAACGAGGAACAAUUGGAGGGCAAGUCUGGUGCCAGCAGCCGCGGUAAUUCCAGCUCCAAUAGCGUAUAUUAAAGUUGCUGCAGUUAAAAAGCUCGUAGUUGAAUUUCGGGAUCGAUAUAUCGGUCGUGCCUCGGUACGUACUGGUAUUUUCGGUUUCUCCCUUCUGACGAACCUUGAUGUCAUUAAUUUGGUGUCUUGGGGAAUCAGGACUGUUACUUUGAAAAAAUUAGAGUGUUUAAAGCAGGCUCACGCUUGAAUACAUUAGCAUGGAAUAAUGAAAUAGGACGUUUGAUUCUAUUUUGUUGGUUUCUAGGAUCGACGUAAUGAUUAAUAGGGAUAGUUGGGGGCAUUAGUAUUCAAUUGUCAGAGGUGAAAUUCUUGGAUUUAUUGAAGACUAACUACUGCGAAAGCAUUUGCCAAGGAUGUUUUCAUUAAUCAAGAACGAAAGUUAGGGGAUCGAAGACGAUCAGAUACCGUCGUAGUCUUAACCAUAAACUAUGCCGACUAGGGAUCGGAUGAUGUUAAUUUUUAAUGACUCAUUCGGCGCCUUACGGGAAACCAAAGUGUUUGGGUUC
rnacentral:rRNA from 1 species